CUGGCAAAAAAGAAAAAGUAGAAUCAGCUUUUUUUCCUAUGGGCCAUUUGGCAAUAGCUGCAAACAGCAGUCUCAUGGUUAGUGCCUGCAGCCUGUUGCUUAUAUGGGCCACCCUAAGACAAAAGGAGACAGCU